rnacentral:rRNA from 1 species
AGUUAAAAAGCUCGUAGUUGGAUUUCUGCGGGGACGGAGCGGCCGGUCGCAACUUGCGACUCGAGCUAGCGCUUUCCCCGCAUCCUGCCGCGAACCGUGCUACCAUUAGCUUGGUGGCGCUGGGGAUCGGCUCGAUUACUUUGAGAAAAAUAGAGUGUUCAAAGCAGGCCACACGCCUUGAAUAAGUUAGCAUGGAAUAAUGACUAAGGACUUCGGUUCUAUUUUGUUGGUGUUCGGGACUGAAGUAAUGAUUGAUAGGGACAGUUGGGGCGGUCUGUACUCCAAAGCGAGAGGUGAAAUUCUUAGACCUUCGGAAGGCAAACAGCUGCGAAAGCGUUCCGCAAGGAUGUUCCCUUUGAUCAAGAACGAAAGUUGGGGGAUCGAAGACGAUCAGAUACCGUCGUAGUCUCAACUAUAAACUAUACCAGCUAGGGAUCGGUCAACGUUUAAUCAUUCGACUUGAUCGGCACCUUAUGAGAAAUCAAAGCAUCUGGGUUCCGGGGGGAGUAUGGUCGCAAGGCUGAAACUUAAAGGAAUUGACGGAAGGGCACCACCAGCCGUGGAGCCUGUGGCUUAAUUUGACUCAACACGGGAAAACUUACCAGGUCCAGACAUAGUAAGGAUUGACAGAUUGAUAGCUCUUUCUUGAUUCUGUGGGUGGUGGUGCAUGGCCGUUCUUAGUUGGUGGAGUGAUUUGUCUGGUUAAUUCCGUUAACGAACGAGACCCCAGCCUGCUAAAUAGCGCGGUUGAGCUUUGCUCGAUGCGAGCUUCUUAGAGGGACUAUGAUGCGCGAUAGCACAUGGAAGUUUGGGGCAAUAACAGGUCUGUGAUGCCCUUAGAUGUUCUGGGCCGCACACGGGCUACACUGGCGCCUGCAACGAGCAUAUCA